rnacentral:rRNA from 1 species
UCAAGAAUAUUCCUCAAUGGACGAAAGUCUGAAGGAGCGACGCCGCGUGACUGAUGAAGUCUUUCGGGAUGUAAAGGUCUUUUCUUAAGGAAGAACUAUGACGGUACUUAAGGAAUAAGAGGUUGCUAACUCUGUGCCAGCAGCAGCGGUAAUACAGAGACCUCAAGCGUUAUCCGGAUUGAUUGGGUGUAAAGCGUGCGCAGGCGGUAAGUUAAGUCCGCGGUUAAAUCUAGCAGCUCAACUGCGAGACCGCCGCGGAAACUGGCUCACUAGAGCAUGGAAGAGGUUAGCGGAAUUGCCGGUGUAACGGUAAAAUGUGUUAAUAUCGGCAAGAACACCAGAGGAGAAGUCGGCUAACUGGGACAUUGCUGACGCUGUGGCACGAAAGCGUGGGGAGCGA